rnacentral:lncRNA from 1 species
AUGAAAUAUGAUCAACUCACAAUUGAUGUGCGUGAGACGCCUGCGAUUCUUCAGCCGUCACUGAGACCCAUGAUUCACUGCAACACAAGAGAGUCACAUCAGACAGCAUCCAUCGGCUCAGGAGAGACGCACGCGUCCGGUCAGAGCGUUCACCGGCUCAGGAGAGACGCACGCGUCCGGUCAGAGCGUUCACCGGCUCAGGAGAGACGCACGCGUCCGGUCAGAGCGUUCACCGGCUCAGGAGAGACGCACGCGUCCGGUCAGAGCGUUCACCGGCUCAGGAGAGACGCACGCGUCCGGUCAGAGCGUUCACCGGCUCAGGAGAGACGCACGCGUCCGGUCAGAGCGUUCACCGGCUCAAGAAAGACGCACGCGUCCGGUCAGAGCAUUCACCGGCUCAAGAAAGACGCACGCGUCCGGUCAGAGCAUUCACCGGCUCAGGAGAGACGCACGCGUCCGGUCAGAGCAUUCACCGGCUCAGGAGAGACGCACGAGUCCGGUCAGAGCGUUCACAGGCUCAAGAAAGAUGCACGCGUCCGGUCAGAGCGUUCACCGGCUCAGGAGAGACGCACGCGUCCGGUCAGAGCGUUCACCGGCUCAGGAGAGACGCACGCGUCCGGUCAGAGCGUUCACCGGCUCAGGAGAGACGCACGCGUCCGGUCAGAGCAUUCACCGGCUCAGGAGAGACGCACGCGUCCGGUCAGAGCGUUCACCGGCUCAAGAGAGACGCACGCGUCCGGUCUGAGCGUUCACCGGCUCAAGAGAGACGCACGCGUCCGGUCAGAGCGUUCACCGGCUCAGGAAAGACGCACGCGUCCGGUCAGAGCGUUCACCGGCUCAGGAGAGACGCACGCGUCCGGUCAGAGCGUUCACCGGCUCAGGAGAGACGCACGCGUCCGGUCAGAGCGUUCACCGGCUCAGGAGAGACGCACGCGUCCGGUCAGAGCGUUCACCGGCUCAGGAGAGACGCACGCGUCCGGUCAGAGCGUUCACCGGCUCAGGAGAGACGCACGCUUCCGGUCAGAGCGUUCACCGGCUCAGGAGAGACGCACGCGUCCGGUCAGAGCGUUCACCGGCUCAGGAGAGACGCACGCGUCCGGUCAGAGCGUUCACCGGCUCAGGAGAGACGCACGCGUCCGGUCAGAGCGUUCACCGGCUCAGGAGAGACGCACGCGUCCGGUCAGAGCGUUCACCGGCUCAGGAGAGACGCACGAGUCCGGUCAGAGCGUUCACCGGCUCAGGAGAGACGCACGCGUCCGGUCAGAGCGUUCACCGGCUCAGGAGAGACGCACGCGUCCGGUCAGAGCGUUCACCGGCUCAGGAGAGACGCACGCGUCCGGUCAGAGCGUUCACCGGCUCAGGAGAGACGCACGUGUCCGGUCAGAGCGUUCACCGGCUCAGGAGAGACGCACGCGUCAGGUCAGAGCGUUCACCGGCUCAGGAGAGAUGCACGCGUCCGGUCAGAGCAGAACUGACUCGUCUCUGUGA